GCCGGGUGUGGUGGCGCAUGCCUGUAGUCCCAGCUACUCGGGAGGCGGAGGUAGGAGGAUGGCUUGAACCCAGGAGAUCAAGGCUGCAGUGAGCUAUGAUCGCACCACUGCACUCUAGCCUGGGCAAUAGAGUGAGACUUUGUCUCAA
rnacentral:sRNA from 1 species